rnacentral:rRNA from 1 species
UACGUAGGUGGCGAGCGUUAUCCGGAAUGAUUGGGCGUAAAGGGUGCGUAGGUGGUUUAUUAAGUCUGGUGUAGAAGGCAGUGGCUCAACCAUUGUAUGCAUUGGAAACUGGUAGACUUGAGUGCAGGAGAGGAGAGUGGAAUUCCAUGUGUAGCGGUGAAAUGCGUAGAUAUAUGGAGGAACACCGGUGGCGAAAGCGGCUCUCUGGCCUGUAACUGACACUGAGGCUCGAAAGCGUGGGGAGCAAACAGG